CCUACGGGCGGCUGCAGUGAGGAAUAUUGGUCAAUGGACGAGAGUCUGAACCAGCCAAGUAGCGUGAAGGAUGACUGCCCUAUGGGUUGUAAACUUCUUUUAUAAAGGAAUAAAACGAGGCACGUGUGCCUGUUUGCAUGUACUUUAUGAAUAAGGAUCGGCUAACUCCGUGCCAGCAGCCGCGGUAAUACGGAGGAUACGAGCGUUAUCCGGAUUUAUUGGGUUUAAAGGGAGCGUAGAUGGGUUGUUAAGUCAGUUGUGAAAGUGUGCGGCUCAACCGUAAAAUUGCAAUUGAUACUGGCAGUCUUGAGUACAGGUGAGGUAGGCGGAAUUCGUGGUGUAGCGGUGAAAUGCUUAGAUAUCACGAAGAACCCCGAUUGCGAAGGCAGCUUACUAAACUGUGACUGACAUUGAUGCUCGAAAGUGUGGGUAUCAAACAGGAUUAGAUACCCCUGUAGUC
rnacentral:rRNA from 1 species